rnacentral:rRNA from 1 species
AGCGAACGCUGGCGGCAGGCCUAACACAUGCAAGUCGAACGAACCUUUCGGGGUUAGUGGCGGACGGGUGAGUAACACGUGGGAACGUGCCUUUAGGUUCGGAAUAACUCAGGGAAACUUGUGCUAAUACCGAAUGUGCCCUUCGGGGGAAAGAUUAAUCGCCUUUGGAGCGGCCCGCGUCUGAUUAGCUAGUUGGUUGAGGUAAUGGCUCACCAAGGCGACGAUCAGUAGCUGGUCUGAGAGGAUGAUCAGCCACAUUGGGACUGAGACACGGCCCAAACUCCUACGGGAGGCAGCAGUGGGGAAUCUUGCGCAAUGGGCGAAAGCCUGACGCAGCCAUGCCGCGUGAAUGAUGAAGGUCUUAGGAUUGUAAAAUUCUUUCACCGGGGACGAUAAGGACGGUACCCGGAGAAGAAGCCCCGGCUAACUUCGU